UUUUGUAGUGGGAAAUGUAGAACCCAAGAAGAAAAGGUGAAAGUCCAAUCUAGUUUUCCAAGAAGAGGGUCAGGUUGCAUGUUGCUCCAAGUAAAUUGCUGACCUUCAAAGGGAAUAUCUACCAGAUCCUAGUACUGGAUGAGAUCAUUAAAAAUAAGCAUAUCAUUCACCGAGCCACCAGAUUUGUUUAUGUUUUUAGGGCUUCUAAUCAUAUUAAAAUCACCAACAAAUAACCAAUCCUCAAUGAGGAAAAC
rnacentral:lncRNA from 1 species